rnacentral:lncRNA from 1 species
GAGGAUUUGAAGGAAAUUACUAACAAGGUUUACUUUGAUAUUGAGAUUGAUGGAAAACCUGCUGGUAUGCUUUUACUAAUCCCAUUUUUAGGAUGUGAAACCAUAUGUUAUCUGGAAUCUAAAUGGACUUGCGCUGGGGUUUUGGUAGGAAUAUGAUAAGAAGUAUGCAAGCUUUGCUUCAAACGAAAUGCUCUCUGAAUUAAUGCAGUCAUAUUCUUGUGAAAAAAAUCUUCGGAGAGUUAAGUUGUAUUUUUUUUUUUCAUUUAGUGGCAAAGCUACUGAGUAAUCUGAGGAUUGAACCCCAAACCAAUGCCUCACCCAAGCAUAAGGGGAGUUUUUUUGUAUUUGAUGUAGGAGAAUAUUUUUUAGUUCAUUUUUUAUAUACGUAAACAUGUGUGUAUGCAUGUAGUUGAAAGUAAAGUUUGUUAAAGUACGGCAUGAUUUCGAAAUAACUAAAUGCUUCUAUACACGCAUAUACAAAUUUGUAUUUAAAUAUAUGCAUAUUUGUUCAUAGGAAAUAAGAACUAGAAAAUAUUUUCAUAAAGCAAUCUCGGUUUUGGUCUUCUGUUAUUUGGAUAAGUUUUGAGUCCUACAACCCUCAACAUUAAAUUCCUCAGUAGAUAAAAGAAAAUUUUUUAUUUUGUUAAUAAAAUCUUGGUUCUUUGCUUGCCUAACAUUAUCUGUAACUCUAGACUUGUCAAUCACCUAUAUGGUUUAACAUGUUUUAUUCAGGUCGUAUUGUNNNNNNNNNNNNNNNNNNNNNNNNNNNNNNNNNNNNNNNNNNNNNNNNNNNNNNNNNNNNNNNNNNNNNNNNNNGUCUCUCUUUUUUAAUGUUAACUACUAAGCUGCUAAUUAUUAUGUCCAAUUCAAAGUGCCUAAUUCAUGGAAUAUGAAUAUAGCAGAUAUGAGAUAAUUUAGAUUGUGAUUGUUAUUUAUAUUGGUUUUAAACCUGAUAGUAAUUUCAUUUUGAAUUCCAUGUUUAGACUGGUUUUCGACUGGAUAAGAUCAGAGAUCUAUUUCAAAAAGAAAAUUUCAGAUAGAAAAUAAUUAGUUCAAUUGUGAAUAAGAAAAAUAUAAUCUAAUUCUAUCCAGAGACCAGAAUGAUAUAAGUAUAACCUUGUUGCCAUCACACACUGUUAGAGCCAUAAUUAAUAGUUUCACCUCUUAGGAUAAUCUUUUGUGCCUUGAUAAAAUCUCACACUAAAAAGACCUAGAUCUGUAGCACAAACAGUCAGUCACUUCUCUCCAUGCUAGUGGGUUGGUAAGAUUUAGGACUUUGAUUCGGUUACUUCUUUACCUAUUUAGCUUCCCUGAUUUAUCUUAAAAAACUUUGAAACAUAGUUUCAUGGAGGUAGGAUCUCCUUUUCUCCUUGUUAUACAUGUUCUUUAUUGUUUCAGGAGAGAAAGGCAUCGGGAAGAAUGGAAAACCUCUUCAUUACAAGGGAAGCACAUUGCACAGAAUUAUUCCAAGCUUUAUGAUCCAAGGAGGUGACUUUACUCAUGGUAAUGGAAUGGGUGGAGAAUCAAUUUACGGCGAGAAGUUUGCUGAUGAGAAUUUCAAAUUGAAGCAUACUGGA